rnacentral:rRNA from 1 species
UAGAUUAUUCGGGAGGAACCACCCAGUGGCGAAGGGCGGUUUUUUUUUGGGGCUGUCCCCCUGACGGUUGAGGCGCGAAAGCGUUGGGGAGCAAAGGCGGAUUAGAUACCCCGCGUAGUUCCACGCCGUUAAACGGUGGAUACUAGGUAUAGGGGGUAUCGACCCCCCCUUCUGUGCCGAAGCUAACGCCAUAAGUAUCCCCGCCUGGGGACUACCGGCCACCAAGGCUAAAACUCCAAAGGAAUUGACGGGGGCCCGCACAAGCAGCGGAGCGUGUGGUUUAAUUCGAUGCAACACGAAGAACCUUACCAAGGCUUGACAUGCUGGUGGUAGGAAUCCGAAAGGAGGACGACCCUGGUUCGCCAGGGAGCCUGCACAGGUGCUACAUGGCUGUCGUCAGCUCGUGCCGUGAGGUGUUGGGUUAAGUCCUAUAACGAGCGCAACCCUCGUCCCUGUGUUACACUCUCCACAGGAGACUGCCCAGAAAGUCUGGGAGGAAGGUGGGGAUGACGUCAAGUCAGCCAUGGCCCUUAUGGCCUUGGGCGACACACACGCUAGCAAUGGAUGGUACAGAGGGUAGCCAAGGAGUGAUCUGG